UACAGAGGGUGCAAACGUUGUUCGGAUUUACUGGGCGUAAAGCGCGUGUAGGCGGCUUUGCAAGUCGGAUGUGAAAGCCCACGGCUCAACCGUGGAAGUGCAUCCGAAACUGCAUAGCUGGAGUCCCGGAGAGGAAGGUGGAAUGCUUGGUGUAGAGGUGAAAUUCGUAGAUAUCAAGCAGAACACCUGCGGCGAAGGCGGCCUUCUGGACGGUGACUGACGCUGAGACGCGAAAGCGUGGGGAGCAAUCAGG
rnacentral:rRNA from 1 species